AGCGAACGCUGGCGGCAGGCCUAACACAUGCAAGUCGAACGAAGCCUUCGGGCUUAGUGGCGGACGGGUGAGUAACACGUGGGAACGUACCUUUUGGUUCGGAAUAACGCAGAGAAAUUUGCGCUAAUACCGAAUGAGCCCUUCGGGGGAAAGAUUUAUCGCCGAAAGAUCGGCCCGCGUUGGAUUAGGUAGUUGGUGUGGUAAAGGCGCACCAAGCCUACGAUCCAUAGCUGGUCUGAGAGGCUGAUCAGCCACACUGGGACUGAGACACGGCCCAGACUCCUACGGGAGGCAGCAGUGGGGAAGCUUGCGCAAUGGGCGAAAGCCUGACGCAGCCAUGCCGCGUGAAUGAUGAAGGUCUUAGGAUUGUAAAAUUCUUUUACCAGGGACGAUAAUGACGGUACCUGGAGAAAAAGCCCCGGCUAACUUCGUGCCAGCCGCCGCCGUAAGAC
rnacentral:rRNA from 1 species